rnacentral:piRNA from 1 species
GUGACUGAUGCUUUAUAUUAUUUAG